rnacentral:rRNA from 1 species
AGCAGCCGCGGUAAUUCCAGCUCCAAUAGCGUAUAUUAAAGUUGUUGCAGUUAAAAAGCUCGUAGUUGAAUUUCGGGGUUAGUAGGUUGGUCAUGCCUCUGGUAUGUACUGGUCUCACUGAUUCCUCCUUCCUGAUGAGCCGUAAUGCCAUUAAUUUGGUGUUGCGGGGAAUUUGGACUGUUACUUUGAAAAAAUUAGAGUGUUUAAAGCAAGCUAACGCUUGAAUACAUUAGCAUGGAAUAAUGAAAUAGGACGUUCGAUCCUAUUUUGUUGGUUUCUAGGAUUGACGUAAUGAUUAAUAGGGAUAGUUGGGGGCAUUAGUAUUCAAUUGUCAGAGGUGAAAUUCUUGGAUUUAUUGAAGACUAACUACUGCGAAAGCAUUUGCCAAGGAUGUUUUCAUUAAUCAAGAACGAAAGUUAGGGGAUCGAAGACGAUCAGAUACCGUCGUAGUCUUAACCAUAAACUAUGCCGACUAGGGAUCGGGUGAUGUUAAUUUUUUAAUGACUC